AUAGAGACUCAGAGCUGCAUAUUAAUAAGCGGAGGAAAAGAAACUAACAAGGAUUCCCUUAGUAACGGCGAGUGAAGCGGGAAGAGCUCAAAUUUGAAAUCUUCAAGGUUCUACCUUGACGAAUUGUAGUUUAAAGAAGUGUUUUCUGUUAGAUGAGUAGCUAAAAGUUCCUUGGAAUAGGACAUCAUAGAGGGUGAGAAUCCCGUAUUUGACCUUAUUCAUUCCAGCGUUGUGAUACACUUUCAAAGAGUCGGAUUGUUUGGGAAUGCAGUCCAAAAUGGGUGGUAAAUUUCAUCUAAAGCUAAAUAUUGGCGAGAGACCGAUAGCGAACAAGUACCGUGAGGGAAAGAUGAAAAGAACUUUGAAAAGAGAGUUAAACAGUGCGUGAAAUUGUCAAAAGGGAAGCGUUUGACACCAGUGUUGUUUUCUCGAAAAUCAAUUAAAAAAGGCUGGAUUUUGUGUUGUAUUGACUUUAUCAGCUUUCUGCACUCUUUUCUUGUCUUUUUUAAUGCACUUUUCGUUUAACAAGUCAACAUCAAUUUCUUUUGUUGUAAAAGGGUCAUUGGAAGGUGGCUUUCUUUUCGGAGAAAGUGUUUAUAGCCUUUGGCCUCUGCAAUCGGAGAGAUUGAGGUCUGCAGCGUAGAUCCUUCGGGGUUAGAUACAUUUGUGCUAAGUUAUAGCCUUUCAUAGACAACUUGUUGACUAUGAUCAGUCAUGUAGCUUACUCGCUUAUGCUAUUUUACCUACGCUUAGGAUGUUGAAGUCAUCGUAUCGCGC
rnacentral:rRNA from 1 species